UACGGAGGGUGCAAGCGUUAUCCGGAUUCACUGGGUUUAAAGGGUGCGUAGGUGGGCAGGUAAGUCAGUGGUGAAAUCUCCGGGCUUAACUCGGAAACUGCCAUUGAUACUAUCUGUCUUGAAUACCGUGGAGGUCAGCGGAAUAUGUCAUGUAGCGGUGAAAUGCUUAGAUAUGACAUAGAACACCAAUUGCGAAGGCAGCUGGCUACACGAAUAUUGACGCUGAUGCACGAAAGCGUGGGGAUCAAACAGG
rnacentral:rRNA from 1 species